rnacentral:rRNA from 1 species
UACGUAGGGGGCUAGCGUUGUCCGGAUUUAUUGGGCGUAAAGAGCGUGUAGGCGGCCAGGUAUGUCUGGUGUGAAAACUCGAGGCUUAACCUUGAGAUGUCAUCGGAAACCAUUUGGCUAGAGUCCGGAAGAGGAAAGUGGAAUUCCUGGUGUAGCGGUGAAAUGCGCAGAUAUCAGGAAGAACACCAAUGGCGAAAGCAGCUUUCUGGGACGGUACUGACGCUGAGACGCGAAAGCGUGGGGAGCGAACAGG